UACGGAGGGAGCUAGCGUUGUUCGGAAUUACUGGGCGUAAAGCGCACGUAGGCGGCUUUGUAAGUUAGAGGUGAAAGCCUGGGGCUCAACCCCAGAAUUGCCUUUAAGACUGCAUCGCUUGAAUCCGGGAGGAGGUGAGUGGAAUUCCGAGUGUAGAGGUGAAAUUCGUAGAUAUUCGGAAGAACACCAGUGGCGAAGGCGGCU
rnacentral:rRNA from 1 species